rnacentral:rRNA from 1 species
AGUGAACGCUGGCGGUAGGCCUAACACAUGCAAGUCGAACGGCAGCACAGUAAGAGCGUGCGCUUACGGGUGGCGAGUGGCGGACGGGUGAGGAAUACAUCGGAAUCUACUUUUUCGGGGGGGAUAACGUAGGGAAACUUACGCUAAUACCGCAUACGACCUACGGGGGAAAGCAGGGGAUCGUCUGAGCUGGCGCGAUUGGAUGAGCCGAUGUCGGAUUAGCUAGUGGGCGGGGUAAAGGCCCACCAAGGCGACGAUCGGUGGCUGGUCUGAGAGGAUGAUAAGCCACCCUGGAACUGAGCCACCGUCCAGACUCCUACGGGAGGCACCAGUGGGGAAUAUUGGACAAUGGGCGCAAGCCUGAUCCAGCCAUACCGCGUGGGUGAAGAAGGCCUUCGGGUUGUAAAGCCCUUUUGUUGGGAAAGAAACGCAGCAGGUUAAUACCCCGCUGUUCUGACGGUACCCAAAGAAUAAGCACCGGCUAACUUCGUG